rnacentral:lncRNA from 1 species
GCAUCGUCUCCUUGACUAUCAGAGAUUUGUCCCGCUGCGAAGUUGGCUGCCCAAUCGGCAAGAAGAUAAGCGGACCAGAUGAGAGAGAGUAGUACCUUUCUGGAUGUGCGUUUCCUUUGAGGUGCAAAGAAAAUGAGAAACGAUUGGUGGAUCCUCGCUACCUCUGCAUUUGUGGCGUAGGCUAGGAAGUUAAACACGUUAAUGCUUCCACACCAUCUCCUGAGGAAGAAUCCAGUCGUCAGCACUUCAUGCUUUGAACUUUAUAUCUUGAAAAAAGUGAAAGUAUCUUACUAACAUAGUAUAUAUAAAUAAUUUGUAAAGAUGUUUUGUGAUGUUAUAUUCCUUUACAUGAUAUAAAUACAGUUUAGUGUAUAUAAAUAUUUUAAACAUAUUAAUCACUCUCCGUAAAUAUAAGAUCAUUAGUAUAUAUAGUAUAUCAAUAAAGUUUAGAAAAUAGCUCUGGAUCUUACAUAUUCCUAGAUACACAAGUGCAGUUUUGUGAAUAUAAAUAUCUUUUAUACAUAUAUCAAUUAUAGUUACUAUAUUUAACUAAUAUACUAAUAAACUUCAGCAGAUAUAGGGUAGUUACUAACAAAAAUAUUGGAAAUAAAAAUAGGUCCAAAAGUUAAAAGAUGUUACAUUUAUCUCUAAUGAGAUAUGAAUAGAUCCAAAAGUUAAUAACAAUAUUUUUAAGUAAUAAAAAUUAGGACUAUGUUUUAAUAGAUUAAAUUAGUUUUACUAUAUUCUUUAUGGCCUGCUGCUGUAUAAUGGCCUAUUCGAAGAACGAUGUUAUAUAAUGGAUCGAUUUGUUGUGGUACGUUUUACAAACUUUGUAUACAAAAGUAGUCAAUUUAAUUUUGGAAAUGUCGGAUUUGAUUCUGUUGAUAACACUAAACCGAGAAAUAAUCUAAACCAAUUGUGUACGUGUUCCAAAACCAAAUGGUAUAUAUAAGUAUUUAACUGAAUUUUAGAUAGAAAUAAUAGGAUUGUUUAAAUAAUACGUAACCGAGAUAUACUUGGUUAUGCAUCACGUUUAAAUUUGGUUAGAUAUGGAACAAUAAUUCGCUGGUAAGCUAGAAUUAAAAGCAAUGGCAUCCCAUUGUAAUUAUUGACGAAAACUCAGAGUUAAGUACAAAAUGUACUCAUGUUUUAAUAGUUUAUAUUAAACACGCUUGAUUAAACAUGUUUUGUCUUUUUAUCUCUCCUUAAUCUAAUUUACAUCUUCGCUGGAUUCAGAAGAAAUAAAGAACAAAUUUAGUUUCACCGAUAUCGUUGAUUGUGGAGUAGCAAUUCUCCUUGAUUCGAGCGAGAUUUUUUACUUCUAAAUAAUUUAGGGGGAUGUACUGAAUCAAGUGUUUAGGAGAUUUUGGAGUGUUUUAAUUUUGAUGGGAUUUUGCAGAGUUUUGAAGUUGUUUGAGUGAUUUUAAUAAAAGUUUAAAAACAAAAACAAAGUUUAUAGGUGAUUUGGUAAGAUAUUUUCUGAAGUUUUUAGAAUUGUCUACGUGAUUUAACUGAAAUGUUAAUAUUUAACACGAUGGACUCUAGGCAUCGAGCCCAAUGUCCGUGCAAGUUCCAGAAUAUACGUCACCUGAGAAACCAUUUGAAAUUAAACGGUGUGAAUUGAGCAACUAAAACUGGAAAAAUAAGUUUCAAGGGUUGACGGCUAACCUUUUAUAGGUGGACAGGCAGCGAGACCAUGAAUGGUCAAAAGAGUUAAGAAUGUCAUUAAUGGCACUGAAUCAAUGCAUACCAUAACCGUUUCGGGGAGAAAAAAAUUGAGACGAAACGACACCGAUACAUCUCAAACCAGGGUAUCGUCAUCACAAAUCAUCUCGGAUAACUGUCCCGAAACUCCAUUGUCAGAGGUGAUCGAGAAGUUGAAGAACCCAAGAUAUUGAUAUCCCCAUUUUGAAGAAGGUGAACAUUAUCAAUCAGGCUGAGAUUUUGCUUUCUUAACAUAUAAAAUUGGAACGUCAAAGCCUAAGAUUUUGACCCACAUAUUUUCGAAAACAAACGCAGAAAAAAUUAGUAAGAGAGGGACACGUGUCACUUGGUCUUUGACCUAUUUUCUUAGGUGGCAAGAGGAGAAGAGAAUUUCCUCCUACUUUAUGUUAUUAGAUUAGUUAUUUUAUAUUGCAUUUAGUGAUAUUUAAAUCUUUUGGAUUUUGAAAUGUAAAAUUUACAUUUAGACCUUAUUAUUUUUAUAUCUCAAAAAUUUAAAUUUUCGAUAUUAGGAUUUUGCAUCCUGAUGCUCUAUAUUUACAUUCAGAUUCAAUAGUGUAGUGUUACUAUAUGAGUAUUUUUCAUCCAAACUUACUGGGCCUUGUAUAUUUUUAUGAGAUUUGUUAUGAUUUUGCUAUAAUUUCUUAGUUAAAUCAACAAAAUCAAAUUUUGUUUUAAAUAGAGCUCACAAGAGUUCGUUUUAUUUCUCGUUGUUAGCUGAUCUCAUAAUUUAUUAGUGGCUUCUUCUUAGAUUUUGAAGCAAUAUAAUGAGGUUGAAGUUUUGGUUCAAUCGGAUGAAGAUGCAAUUGUGUAGAGGGGGUUGUCCCAGAUGUUUCAGUUCUUGGACCCAUGUUUCGAGGUUGGUGUGUGUCUGUGUGUCUGGGGCUAUUCGGCUUGCUUCUUGGCUUUUCAUCAUAGACAAGAAGUUCACGUGAGUUUUGGUAUUGUUAAAGUACUGUUAAAUCAUGUUCGAUGCUUGUUCGCUUGACUGACUGUAGUCUUUUGCUAAACCUCUGGUUGUUUUAGGUUUUGACUUUAUUAUCUUGGGUCUUUUAAGGAUGGUAAAAAGGUUUAGUUGUAGGAAUUUGCUUUGUCUUAAGUUAUGGUUCAGUUUGUUUUUUAAGUAUCUUUGUUAGGGUUUUAGUUUUCUUCUUUUGGGUUGUAUUUCAAGAGAUUUUAACGUGUUCAACUGGCUUAUGUAUCGCAACUUGUAUUCCAUCCAAAUGUUUAAUAUAAAUCAAUUGACGGGAACAAAAAAAAUAAAACAAUACUGAAACUGAAGAAUGGGAGGGAGAACGAUUUGAUCCAGCCCUAGAAGAAAAGGUUAGAUACCCUGAACGAUUCUCAAGCAUCGAUGUGAUCUGUUGGUUGAUUCAUUGUACGCUUGGAGUUUUGAUAUCACUCGAUUUGAUUUGUGUAUGUGGUUUUUUCUUUCUUCAGUCUUAUUGAAGAUCACAGAGUGAUUGUGCCAUACUGGUCUUAAAGCAUACAUACUUGAGAAAGAGUUAUGCUUGAGAAAAGAAAACAGUGCAAUAGACAUCACAAGGUUCCAUCAUAAAACAUACAAUGUCAACAACAUUUCUAUGCUGAAAAGAGUUCAUAGUUGAGCAUAGAAAGUAGAAGAACUACAAUGCAAAAUUGAAUAAGACACCAGGAAAUGUGUUUUUUGAUCACUUGCCUAUUAUGAGUUUCGCUCUGGCAUCUCCUUUGUUGAUCUGGAACUGAUCUGUUAAUCCAAAGUGAGCCAUUAAAAGCCAAACAAAGUUGAUCAGCUCACCACCUCUACUAAGCUGUUCCACAUGAGCUGUAGAAUCACAAUGACACGCUGCAUAACAUAGCAGUUCCACCCACACUUUGCUCAGUAUCUCCCAUUUGUCUUUCCCAUACCUCUCUUCCAGCUGCCUAAGGUCUUUAGCUAAUCUGCUAGCAUCAAACAACACAGACUUGCUUCGAUCUCCCUUAACACCCAUUGGAUCAAUAUCACUACUGACGUCGAGGAUCGUCUUGCUAGCUAUCUUCACAUCUCUAACGUUCUCAAUAUGCCUCCUGUGGAAGAACUUGUCAGCUUCAGCCAUUGUGUCUCUGAAUCUAAUCUUCCCAAUUCCAGCAACCUCGGACAUCAGACCAGGUUGCAUGAUGAGGAGAUACAUCACGUAGUCUGAAAUGAUUUUGCUGAACUCACGGUUGCUGUAAUGCUUACUUUUGUCAUAUCCCUCAGGGAUAGUCUCUUCCUGUUGGUAACAGAGCUCGGUUGCAAUGUGCCACAUCAAAAGACUCUGAUCAUAAUCAAAGUUUGUGACAUAACCCACCAGCUUCUCCCUGUCUGCAUCCUCUGGAAGGUUGUCUCGCAGAGUCCAUUGUCCUCGAGCCAGAGAUAUCCUUUUAGCAUUUUCAGGACUGUCUCCAAACUUUGACUUGUAUUUCAGCUCAUUGAACAUGAACGCCCAGAGUUCUUUAGUCAUGGGCUCUCCGUGCACAAACAGCGUCUUGUAAACCAUAUCAAGCAUAUCCGAGAUGUCGAAGAAGUCGCUGAACUUAUCCCACACAAUCUUGAUGAAGUGAGGAAUGCGGGAAAGGAACCCGAAAUAGAUAGGGUAGAUAGUACUACGAGCCCAAGGAUGUUUUCUUGAUGUCUCAUUGACUUUGUGGCUGAUCCUCUUGUGCAUAGCGUUGAUCAACUUAGGAACCCAUCCACCAAGUGUUUGGAUGAUAAAGUUGAGCUUCUCAAAUGGGUAAGUGAAGGCAGUCCAUGCGUAGCGGCGGAGUCUACCUCUGGCGUCAUGGAUCCUCGCUACCUCUGCAUUUGUGGCGUAGGCUAGGAAGUUAAACACGUUAAUGCUUCCACACCAUCUCCUGAGGAAGAAUCCAGUCGUCAGCACUUCAUGCUUUGAACACUUAUCAUCACCUUCCUUGUUACACUCUUGCAUCGUCCAACUGAGCUUUCUGAGACUAAGUAGCCAGUUGAAAAACUGAUCUUUCGGUAAUAGAUCUUCGUCGGGGUCAUCCUUCAAGCUACUAAGUGCAGCACAAGUCCAGUCAGAAAACAGAAACAAGAGGAUUGAUAUGAGAUCCAAAGCUAAGCCAACUGCAAACAGCGUGUAAGUAACCACAACAUCAACUGGAUGAAACUCUAUGCUUUUGUUUGGUUUCUUAUGAAAGAGGAUGAAAGCUGCCACAAGGGUCCCUGAAGCAACCACCCGUGAUAUAGUUCCGAUAAGGGUAUGAAGAACAGCGACCUUGGUGAACAGAGCAUCAUAGAGGAAUCCAAGCUCAACUUCAAUGAUCCUCAAAGCUUCCUCUGGAUCAGUAAGAUUCUCAAAGAUCUCUAGGCUCUCGUCGCGCUCCCUGAAGCUGAAGAUAAGGUUGACCACAAGGCCCUUGAAUGUGUCGAAGAACUUGUAAGCAUACUGAGCAAUCUCAAGAUCAGUCAGCUUACUAUUUUCUUUGUCUUUUCUACUCUCCGAGGCUUGUGCUGGAUGCACCAACUUCUUAGGCCUAUUCUCCUUAUCAGGCUCAUCAAUCAGAAUGAUCUUUGUGGGUAGUCUUGCCUCUUUCUUGGCCUUGUACUCCUCCAUGAGCUUCGCGUAGUUUGGUCCGGGAUCCGGUGCUUGAAUCAUAGAGUCUCUACACUUAUCCAAACUAGCACUAUACAAAGCCGUUGUCCUCUCUAGAUACUUUAUAGUCCCGGAGAUAAACACUAAGAGUAUUAUCAACCAGAGGCUAUUGGGGAUAGACUGAAGAACAACAUAAACACCAGCAAUUGCCUGAAAGACAAGUCCGAAGACAUGUCUGAGCCAAAGAGCGUUGUCUUCAAGGGCAAAAGUUGUGAUAGUGUCUGGUCCGCCAAGAUGUAAGAGCAAGAAUGGUGCCCAUAAGGCCAUGAGCUUCUUGUCCUGUGGAGGGUCAUCUUUCUUGAGUUCUUUACCUUGGUUCUUAGAGAUGAGACCAACGGCGAAAUUAGCUGACCAAUCUGCUAAGAGGUAAGAGGACCAGACGAGCAUGAUCAAGAGUCUUCUUGGUGUGCGUUUCCUUAGAGGUGAGAAGCAAAUGAGAAUUGCUUGGAGGGUGAGGCUCAGAAUGAUUGCUCCUCUUAUGUUCCAUCUGUCCCACAUAUCCUUGAUGUGUUUUGGUAUCACUUCCACCAUUACUGUUGCAUAGACAGAUAUAUUAUUAUUGAUCAUAUAAUAUUAAGUGUUAAUAAAUUUUACAUAGAAAACCGAGAACGUCAUAUAAUUUGGAACAUAAUUUUUUUUUCUAAAACGACUUAUAUUAAAAAACGGAGGGAGUAAUAGAAUUUUCGGUACAUUACUUUAAGACUGCCCCCUCGUUAGUCUUAUCUUUACUCCAGUCUGUAUUUUUAAUUGUUUGUUCUCUGUUUAAAUCAUUUUAAUGGUUAAAUAAUAAUAAUAAUAAUUUUAACAUUUGUGUCAUCACUUUCCUGAAUUCUUUUAAGCAUUUCGAUCAAUAGGAGAAUUGUCUUAUGGAUCUCAGGAACUAACCAAGCUCACAAAAAUGAAUGUAUCAGCCAAGCAGAAGAUAAACAAGGAUAUGAGCUACAAUGCAGAUGAUAUAAUUGCUGGAAAUGAUACAAUAGAUGCAAACAGUUCAAGAUAUUAUUCUUUGAAACGACAAAAGAACACAACAAAAGCAAACGGAGGAAACUAAUGUUGCUGCCGGUUAUUAGAGGAUCACUUGCCUAUAACCAGUUUAGCUCUAGCAUCUCCUUGGUUGAUCUGGAACUGAUCUCCUAGUCCAAAAUGAGCCAUCAACAGCCACACAAAGCUGAUGAGUUCUCCACCUUUGCUUAGCUGAGCUGCGUGUUCUAUAGCGCCACACUUAGUUGCUGCAUAACAAAGCAACUCAGCCCACACUUUGUUCACUACUUCCCACAUGUAUGCCUCUCCCUUGGCCUUCUUCAAGCCAUCCUUAAACUCUGGAAGCUCUUUUAAACCCUUAAGCUCUUUGGCCAACAUGCUCCCAUCAAACAGCACCGACUUGCUCCUAUCACCUUUCACGUCAAUAGGUUCAGCUUUUGCCGGAGCCGUCACAGAUAAAAUCGCCUCACUAGCCAUCUUUAUGUCUCUGGAUUCGAUAUGCCUUCUCUUGAAAAACCUCUUAGCCUCCUCGCAUGUAUCCCUGAAUCUUAUCUUUCCAAUACCCACAACAGCUGACAUCAAAGUAGGUUGCAUCAUCAUGAGGUACAUCAUGUAGUCUGAAAGGAUUUUACUAAACUCACGAUCACUAUGACUCUCUUCAGUGGCUGGUUCUGAUUGGUAUAAGAGCUCAGUUGCAAUAUGCCACACAAGAAGACUCUGAUCAUAGUCCAUUUCCAUCACAUAGCGUAGAAUCCUCUCACGCUUUUUCUCUGUCUCUCUGUCUUCACCUUGUAUGUCACGCAGACUCCAGUCACCUCUAGCUGAAGAGACCCUCAUGGCGCUUUCCGAGUCGUCAGCGAAACGGGAUUUCUUCAAAACCUCUCCAAAUAUAUGCUCCCACAAAUCAAGAGUGACACGAUCACUUGAUGUGUAGAUAAGCUCCUCAAACUGAGCUUGUAUCCCAAAGAAGUCCAUGAACUUUCUUGUCAGAUAACCAAGAAGAUGAAAAAUGACGAACGUCCAAUAGAUCCAACUCCUAAUAUAAUCUUCCUUUAACCAUUUUCUGUUCUUGCAUAAAACACUUAUCUUAUUGUCAAGCCACUUGUAAACAUUAUGACCCGCUUGCUUUAUACUGUGGAAACAUAAUGCAAUUGCUUUUCCAAUGGCUUCAAAGACAACUCCAAUGCGAAAAACCUUGAUAAAUCCGUCAAAGGACAUGUGUAUGAAACCCUUGGUGUGAUGGAUCCGCUUCGGCGUUAUCGAACGACAAUACUCUAGCAAGUUGUGUGCAUGUACGUACUCAGACCACCUACGUACCAUAACGAAAGUGUCAAGGACUUCAUGACACGUUUUGUCCGUUCUAUCCUUCUCAACGCCUUCGUCCUUCUUCAGCCUCAUGAAAAUGAGAAUUGGCUUUAUAAUCUUGCCGAACCAGUUAACUUUGUUGUCCUCAUCCGUAGACGAUUUGAAGCAUUUGUACUUCUCCGUCUUCAAUCCCCUGGCCCCAAGAAUCCAGUUAAGAAAGUUGUCCAACUUAGUGUCAGGAUCAUCAACCUCGUCCUUCAUCUUCCUCAGCCUGACAAAGGUCCAGUCAGACAGACAUAACAUAAUAAGAGCAAUGCAAUCCAGAGCUAUUCCUCCUAUCAGCAAUGCAUAAGUAAGGCCAACAUCGAAUCUUCCAUAGUCUUUCUUGUCUUUGUAUUGGAAGAUGCGGAGCGCUGCUAUAAGGCAUCCAAGAGCAAUGAAUCUGAAGAUGACUCCUAUCCAAUUAUGAAGAAUCUCAGCUUUUGUGUAAAGAGCUUCGUAGAUGAAGUUGAGCUCAACCUCCAAGAUUCUUAGCGCUUCAUCUGGUUUUAGUUCGCUAAAGAAUCGCUUGCUUUCAGCUCGUUGUUGAAAGGUGAAGAUAAGAUCAACCACAAGACCUUUGAAGAUGUUGAAGUACUUAUAAGCAUACUGGAGAAUAUUAAGCUCAGUGAGGUUGUCAGGCUUAACCUUAGCACCGGCUUUUGGAUCUUUCUCAGGCUCCUCGAUCUUGAUAAUCUGUGUAGGCAUCUUCAUAACCUUCUUAGCCGCGUAUUCCUCCAUAAGCUUCGCGUAGUUUGGGCCAGGAUCAGGUCGUUGAAUCAUGGAAUCUUUAAACUUGUCAAGACUAGCUAGGUAUAACGCUAAUGUCCUCUCAACAUACUUGAUCACUCCUGUCGCAGAAACCAGCAAAAUGGGUCUCCACAGAUCAUUUGGUAACGACUGUAAAAACACGUAGACGGUGGCGAUUGCUUGAAAGGCAAGACCCAACAAGUGCCUAAGCCAUAGCUCAUUAUCUUCAAGCGCAAGGGCAGUGAUUGUAUCUGGACCACCGAGAUGCAAGAGCAAAAAAGGAACCCAAAAAGCUAAGAGUUUACUGUUAUUUUUAGGUUCCCCGGGUUCUGCAUCGUCUCCUUGACUAUCAGAGAUUUGUCCCGCUGCGAAGUUGGCUGCCCAAUCGGCAAGAAGAUAAGCGGACCAGAUGAGAGAGAGUAGUACCUUUCUGGAUGUGCGUUUCCUUUGAGGUGCAAAGAAAAUGAGAAACGAUUGGAGGCUGAGACUGAAGAUUAAGGUAGUUCGGAUACUCCAUGCGUCCCAUAUGUCUUUGAUAGGCUUAGGGAUUGCGUCCACCAUCUUGAAACAGAGUUAUUUCCUAAUUUGUUGGAACAAACAAGAAAUUAUGGUCUUUGAGACACAACACAUAUGCAUCUAAAGAGGUUUUGGACUUGUUUCUUUGUCUGUUUAAUUUUUUUUUUUUUUGGUGUUCAGUUAUUCUGUGCAGACAGCCAUUGGAAGCCUCUUGGAAGAGACCUGAGGUUAGUCAAACACUGUUCAUGUCGUCUUUCUUUUAUGUUUUUUAUUUGGCUUUACAUUUUGCAAAAACAUUUAUUUUUCAUGAUAUUUUUAAAAUUGUAUUAUUCCUGCUUUUUGUUUUCGUUCUUUAUACUAAUUUGUCAUUUCAUAAAAGGUUAAAACACUGAUUUAAACAAAACUCCCACUGGUUGGUAAAGGUGAGUAAAGUUCAAAAAAAAAAAGAUAUGAAUAGUGUGGAAAGGGAUAUAUGCUAUAUUUAUUUAUAUUUAAAAUACUUAGAGCUCUAUUUUAUAUCAAUAUGUUUGGAUCCUUGUGUAAAUUUUCUGUCUUGUUUUUGUUUCUAUAUAUCCUUAACGAAUCUCCGAUCAAAUACUCUCCAUGCGUUCCUAAAAAAUUCUUAUUCUAGAGAAAAUUUUUGUUUUAGAAAGAUACAUAUUUUAUACUACCUCCAUUCCUAAAUGUAGGAUAUUUUAAAGAAUUUCGAUGUUUCAAUAUAUAAGAUGUUUUCAUUUUUCUAGGUAAACUUUUAUUUUAUUAAAAAAUGUGCAACCAAUCAUAUUUGAUAAUCCAUUUUGUAAUCGGUUGAAUAACAUUAAUUUAUAGUUUUAAUGAUAUUUUCUAGACAAAACAAUGAUUUUUUAAAUAUACGUGUUUUUACUUAAAGAUCUUAUAUUUAGGAACAGAUGGAGUAUUUCCAAUGUAAUUUUUGUCAACUAAUAAUGAGAAAUUGUGAAGUUCAAGAAUGUUAAUUGCAUUUUAAAAAAUUUUAUUGGUUUAAUAAUAUAGAAAAUAUAAAAUUAUAAAAAACUAUGUAUUUAUAGAUACGUUUUCAUUUAUUUUAUUAAAAAUUGUGAAAAUUCUAAAAUAUUGAUUUUUUAAGAACAGAGAGAGAGUAGAUAUCAAGUACAGUAUGAGGUUCUGUAGGCCUGCUUUGUAAAUUGGAAUGAGAACAUUUGUUUCGUUCCCAUUCCCAGACAGAACAAAUUCUGCCCAUGUGAACACUAGUUACUUCUCCAAAAAAAACUAGUAAAAGUACAUUCAACCUCUAUAUUUAUAAUCUAACUAGAUUCUACUCUUUGAUUUUAAAGAGUGAAAUUAUAAUUUUUACAUAAUUUAUUUUAAUAAUUUUAAAUAAUUAGUUUAUCUUUUAAACAUAUUUGUAAACUGAUUUUUAUUUCUGUUUCUGAUAAAAUUCUUUUUAUUUAAUUUAAAAACAUGGGAUUUUAAAAUGUAAUAAACUCAAUUUAUAUUUUAAGACAAAAACUGAGUCUAUAUUUAGGUAUAUAUAUUUCAAUAAUUGUUACAAACUUAAUUAGUUAUUUAAACAAUAAUAAUUAAAAUAUCUAUAAGAUUUGGUUAUAAAAAAUAAGAAAUAUUCAAAAUUAAAAUUAUAUAUUCCCUGUUACAAUAAUAUAUAUUAUGUGUGAUGGUGUUUUCAUUAAAAUUUAUAAUUUGAAAAUAAAGACUAAACUAAUUUUAAUGAAAUGUAAACUAACUAAAAUUUGAAUAAAAUAAAUUGUAAAUCACACAUGGAAAUAAGGUUGUUUAUAUAUUAUGUUUCAAUUUUAAUUUUAAUAAGAUAGAUUCAAUAAUAUUAACAUCAUUUCUAAUCUUUUAUUAUAUUUUAUUUUAAAAGUUGGUGUAAAUGUCAAAGUUAAACGACAACCAUGUUAAUAUGAAAUUCCAUUAUUUUCAAAGGACCCUACUUGGAAGCAAUUAUUACAAUAUCAGCCAUAACUUUACAUCGAAAUAAGAUAUGCUUUUGUAGUCUAACAAGACUUUUCCCACGUCUUGUGAUGUGACCGCACAGGUGAUUAUUGUUUUGUUUGUUUUUAGUUUUUAGUUUUUGGUUCCUAGUUUUUAGUUUUUGGUUUUUAAAUUUUAGUUUUUAUUUUUUGGUUUUGCGGUAAAUUUUGGCUUUUUGAAAAUCAUGAGUGUUUUAGAUUUUGGUUUUUAGUUUUUGAUUUUUGCUUUUAAAAUUAAUAAAAUAUUUUUAUACAAAUAAAAUAUUUAUUCUGAAAAAUAAAAUAUAAAAUACACACAUCAAAACACACAUAAACUUAUUUAAUAAAAUUAUUUUAAAUAACAUUUGAGGUGUGAAAAAUAUUUAAAUAAGAACUGCAAAAAACAAUAUAAAUUAUCAACAAUAUAAUUUUUUGUAAUGACUAACUUCAAAUAAUUAAUUUUAUUUCUUUUGAUAAGUUAAAAUUUUUAUAGGAGUUAUUUUGCUUACAUGAGUUUAUUAUUAGAUAAAAUAUCAUUCAAAUAUUAUAAUAAUAUUAGUACAAUAAGCUUUGAUGAUUAGUAUAGAUGAAAUUUACUAUAAAUUAAAAAAGUGUCCAACAGUUUAUUAUUCGAUAAAAUAUUAUUCAAAUAUUGUUAUAGUUUUGGUAAAACCUGUGUUAUAAUAAAAACAGAUGUAAAAUACCUUACAUAGAUAUGCUCAGACAUUAUUAUUAGCAAUUAAAAAUGCCUUAGUAAUGGGUCUUACGUAUUAUAAUCAUAGGUAUUACCCAAAUCAUGACUUACGUAAGUUGUAUAUAUAUGUAAUAAUAGAUAAACGUAAAAGAAGUUUCAAGCAACAAAACUACAAAAAACUGAUUUUUGGUUUUUGUUUAGAAGUUGCCAGUUAUUUAAAAAACUAGUUUCCUUAUAUUUUAAAAAAACUAUUUAUCAGAAAAUUUGAUUGGGUGAAAAAUGGUUUUUGGAGAAACAAAAACCAAAAGCUAUUCCAAAAACCAGAAACAAUCGACCUGGCAAUGGCAGGAAACCUACUUGGAAGCAAUUAUUACAAUAUCAACCAUAACUUUACAUCGAAAUAAGACAUGCUUUUGUAGUCUAACAAGACUUUUCCCACAUCUUGUCAUGUGACGACACAAUUGCAGGAAACCAUGUUGGCAUUCAUAGGCUGUAAUGUGAUCCAGAACAAAUGCAGAAAUAAUGCAGGAUAUUUAAUUUGCAGAUAGAACUGCAUUUGUUACCCAUUCAUGUUUAUAAUGCAGAACUGGAAAAGGUAAAAAAAAACUAAAAACUGACCUGAAUGCAGAUUGGUUUUGUCUUUGAUUAUUUGUCCCGCAGAUUAUAGAAGAAAAGGUUCUGGCGAGAGGCAGAGGGGCAAAAUGGCCUGAUUUUUUUUUUUUAAGUUCCUUGAUUAUAAUCACUCUUCAUUAUUACACUUGAUUUUAUAGGCCUCGAACGGAUCGGGUAUCCGGGAAAUUUUAAGGUAUCCGGAUCCGGAUCCUUAUCCGGCGGAUCUAUAAUUUUACUAUCCUUAUCCGGAUCCGCGGUUCUCGGAUUCCGGACCUUCUAAAAAUUGUAAUAUCCGGCGGAUAUCCGGAUCCGAAUUUAGAUCCUUAAAAUAAAUAAAUAAAAUAAUAUUAAUAUAUAUAAAAUAUUAACAAUAAUUUAAAACAAAAAAUAUAUAAUGUUUUGAAUUAUUUCUAGGGUUUUCUGCAAAAAACCCUCAAUGUGGUUUUUUUUUUCAAAUUAAUCCGCGAACUCAAAAACCCACGGGUCAACCCUCCAAGUGCCAGUCAAACCGCAAUAUAACCCUCGGCCGUAUUUAUGUGUAUUUGACUGUGUAUAAUUUUAACAUUUUUUCAAUAAUAGGUCGUUUUGGCGCUAAUUUUUUAAUGAAAAAAAUUUGUUGAACUCGUGGUUUGAAAUUUGAACCUUAAAUACCAUGUGCAUGCUAUAUAACCAUCUCGGCCAACAAAUAUAUUUGUUUACUUAACAAACGCAAUUAUAUAGAUUUCUAAAACGAAAUGACCUUGUUUUUCUCGGACAUGGGAGCUUGCGUAAAUGCACAAUGAAGGUGGAGUUCAACAAAUUUUUUUCAUUAAAAAAUUAGCGCCAAAACGACCUAGUAUUGAAAAAAUGUUAAAAUUAUACACAGUCAAAUACACAUAAAUAUGGCCGAGGGUUAUAUUGCGGUUUGACUGGCACUUGGAGGGUUGACCCGUGGGUUUUUGAGUUCGCGGAUUAAUUUGCAAAAAAAAAUCACAUUGAGGGUUUUUUUGCAGAAAACCCUUAUUUCUACGUAUAAAAUUACAAAACUUACGUAAAAUUUACAUAUACUAUUAUAAAAAUGAAAAUAUAUUAAAUAAAAUUAGUUUUUAUAUAUAGAUAUUACUAUUUUUGAAAUAGUUAUUAAUAAAACUUACGGAUCCAGAUAUCCGGACUAAAAAAUCAUGAUAUCCGGAUCCGGUUUUAGCGGAUCCAACAUUUUACAAUCCGGAUCCGGAUUAGGCCCCUCCGGAUAUCCGGAUUUUCAGAUGGGAUCCGGAUCAAAUCUCAGAUCGAAUCCGGAUCUCGGAUAAAAUUCUCGGGCCUAUUCAUUUACUUAACAAAUUAAUUGUUUUCUCAGAAAUAAAGUUUGUUAAUUUUUUCAUUAUAAGUUAUAGUACUGGACAUAUUUUUUUUAUUACAAAUAAAAAAUGAUAAUUACCUUGUGUCUAAUUAGUUUUUAUAUUUUCAGGUUGUCUUUACAUCAAUUAAAAAGAAUUCAAAAAUUCAAGGAGUAUUUUAAUUAGCUCAUUAAAUAAAUUCUAAAACAUUUAGGAUGUUUAAAAUAACCUAUAAAUACUUUUAUCUUCUAUUUAUUUUUUAAAAUUCACAAACAGUUGCAUAAUUUAUUUUAUUAAAAAAACUAAUUAAAUUAUAAAUUAACUAUAAUUUUUAAACAUUAAUACAAAAUUUAUAUAAAACUUCAUGCACGCAUAUAUAUAAACAAAAAAAUAUUUUUUUUUAGUUUUAUGCAUUUACUUUCAUAUUUGGUAAUUCAUAUUUAACUGCAUAUAAUUAUAAAUUUUAAAUUUUAAUUAUAAUUACUUAAUAUCAAUGAAACAACACAUUUUUCUUACAUAUACAUUUAUGCAUUUUUAUAUUUUUAAAUUUAAAAUAAAGGUUUUGUUGAUACAAUAACAUAUAUAUAUAUAUAAUUUGACAAUGUCAGUUCUAUAGGUUAACCAAACGGUAAUAAAAAACCAAAAAUUGAAUAAAUAUAAAAAAAUAAGAACAAAACAAGAAUAUUCUUUAUAAUUUUUGUAAUUUUGAUGAUUUUUCAUAUAAUUUUAAAAUCACUAUAUUUAUUAAAAUGAUGAUAUUUAUUGUUAUUUUGUCAACUUGAUAUUUAUUGCUUAUAUAUAAUAAGUUUAAUUUUAUUUAAAAUUUUAAUUUUUAUGAAAAAAUAAAAUAUUUAAUUAAAUAUAAUAAUUUAUUAAAUUAGAUUGAUCUGCAUUUGUUCUGUUUGAUAUGUAUGAUCUACAUUUCUUCUGUUUGAUCUGCAUUUUUGUCUGUAUUUAUUCAUCUGCGUUAUCUAUUCGAAGUCAUAGUCCAUUGCUACGCAUUUAAUAUUACCCGGACAGUUGGACUAUUAUUGCUCUUGAGCCGGAUACUUGGAUGUAUACUUUAAAAAGUUGCAUAAAUAAAUAGUUAUUCCUGGGUACACCUCCUAGGUUAAAAUUUUUAGGUUCACCGACUAAUAGAAUUUCAUUAUUUCAAAUUCGAUAUUUAAAAAAAAAAAAAAAAUAUUGUCAAAUUAUAUUAUGUUUUUAAAAUAAAAAGGUAAAAAAAAAAUAGUAGUUACAGAAAAAAAAAUUAAAAAAAAUCUUUUUAACGUCGUCAGCAAAACACUAAACCCUAAAUCUUAAUCCCAAAACCCUAAAUCCUAAAUUCUUAACCCUUGGGUAAACCCUAAACCCUUAAAUAAACUCUAAACCCUUGGGUAAACUCUAAACCCUUGGGUAAAUCAUAAACUCUCGGAUAAAUCCUAAACUCUAAAUAAAAACACUAAACCCUAAGACUUUAAACCCUAAAUCCUAAAUCCUAAACCCCAAACCCUUGAGUGUUUUAAUGUUUAGUGAUUUUGAUUUAGAGUUUAAGAUUUAUCCUAGAGUUUAGGGUUUACCCAAGGGUUUAAGGUUUAGGAUUUAGGGUUUAGGGAUUAGGAUUUAGGCUUCGAAUGGUGACUGCGGUUUGAACGGUGCGGAACAAGCGGUUCAACUGCGGUGCGGUUUUAACAGUUAUAAAAACGUAUCGAUAUAUGGUAUACGUUAAUAUUUUUGUUACUGUUAACUGCGGUGCGGGUCGGAACGGUUAUAAACAUUCGAAGCCUUAGAGUUUAAUGUUUUGCUGACGACGUUAAAAAUAUUUUUUUUGUAAAUACUACUAUUUUUUAUUUAUUUUUUUACAAUUUAAUUUUAAAAGAUAAUAUAAUUUGAUAAUAUUUUAUUUUUUUUAAUAUAUCGAAUAUGAAUUAACGUGGGGGUGGGGUAAAGGGAGAAAUUCCACUCAAGCUACCCUGCGUGGGCUCAUGAGUGUAUCCAUUUAUCUGUUAGAUAAUAGGUUGUGUUAUCUUUGGUUUACGAGAUUAGCUGGCUCUGAGACUAUCCAAAGUUAGGCAUGGGCAAAAUAAUCGGAACCGAAGAACCGAAUCAGAACCAAACUGAAAUAUCCGAAACUGGAAUCAGACCAAUACCUUCAAAUACCCAAACGGUUUCUAUAUUUUUAUAUCCAAAAUAACCGAAUCGAACCAAGAACCGAACGGGUACCCGAAUAUAUAAAAAUAUUAAUUAUAUACAUAUAACAUCAUUAAAUAAAUAUUUUUAAUUUAAAAUUCUAUUAAAAGUAUCUGAAAAUAGUUGAGGAUAACUAAAUUAUUAUAAAGUAUCCAAACUACUCGAAAGUAUCUGAAACUCUCCGGAUAGUUUUAUCCGAAAUAUCCAAAGUAAUCCGAAAUAUCUAAAUUUUUUAUCUAAAUCAUCCUAAUUAUUUGAUAUUUUACUCUAAAUAACCGAUAUUUUAUCCAAAUUAUCUGAACUAUCCGAACUAUCCGAACCGGAUCCAAAAGAGAAUCGAACUCCGAAUAUUUUCCGGUUCCUACAUUUACUAUCCAAACCGAACCGAACCCGAAACUAUCUGAACCGAACCGAACCAAAAAUAGGUCAAGUACUAAAUGGAUCCUCUAGCCCCUAUCUGAACUACCCGAAACCCGAAAUACCCGAACCGAACCGAACCGAUAUCCGAAAUGUCCAGGCCUAUCCACAGUGAUAAAACAAUUCAAUAUCCUCAUUUUUUCUUUUUAACGUUUCACAUUAUUUUUCACCUAAUUAUUCAAUAUUCAAUUCAUUUUUAACCUCUAAUAUAAUUUUAUUUAAUAAAAUUCAACACACUACUCCACUAUUUCUAAUUCAUCUUCUUUUUAUAUUUUAUAAUUCAAUAAUUAUAUAUUAUAUAAUAAGUUUGAUUAUAAUUAACUUAAAUAAUUUAAAUAAGAUAUUUUUUAUUAUUAACUUUUAAAAAAAUAUAUAAAAAGUAAUAUUAUUAAAACAAAUAAAAUUAGAAGAUUUAAAUACAUACAAUAUAACACACAGAACAACAAAUUAAAAACACACAACUUAUUUGGUACAAGAAACUCAAAUAAAAACACACAACUUAUUUUUUACAAUAAAUACAAUCAUAAACAACAAAUUAAAAUUUUGUAUUCAGUUAUUUAGACAGCCAAUAGAAGCCUCUGGGAGGAGACCUGAGGUUAGUCAAACAUUGUUCAUGUCGUCUUUCUUUUAUGUUUUUUAUUUGGCUUUACAUUUUGCAAAAACAUUUAUUUUUCAUGAUAUUUUUAAAAUUGUAUUAUUCCCGCUUCUUGUUUUCGUUCUUUUGGUUUUGAGAUUUUUUUUCUCAGAUUGACUUGAGAAAUUUGGGGUCUUGUGGAAUAAUGUUUUUGGGAAGCUGUUGAUGCUCUUUUUUUUUCACCAGAGGCUCACUCAUGACUCGGGUAAGAGACGACUCAGGGACUCACUCAAGUCUAGCUGUUCUGUUUUCUUUCAACGAAUUAAUAAUAAACUAUUUUUCAUUUUUCGUACAUUUAUUGCAAAUUGUUUAUUAAAUAAAAAAUAUUCUUUAAAGGAAAGUUCGUUAUUUUUUUGUGGGAAACGACUUUAGCUUAUAGGUCUUUCUUUAUGCUGAAUAAUAAUAAAAUCAAAAGUGACAGCUGUUGGGUACAAUAAUUAAAAGAAAAUAUUACAUUCAAGGUCACUUUCAUCUUUUAUAUUACACCACUAGACACUUUGCUCUCUUAAGACACUUUUCCUAAUUUCAAUGCACGUUUGUUUAGGUUUACUAGUUGAAACAUAAGUAAAUUGUAAUUAGUAGGUCCCAUUCUUUUUUUCUGUUUCUUCUUCCUCAAAAUUCUUUUCCAUAUCUCACUAGUUUGCUUUUACAAUUUUUUUGAUGUUUUGAUUUUUUUUUUCACUAACAGAAUUACAAAAUUUAAAAUAAAGCUUCACAGAUCUUGGUAUUCAAAUCCUAGCCAAUUUAACUAUAUUUUCUCUCAUAUCUUAUUAGAGAGUCAUUAGAUCUAGAAGAUGUAACUAAUGAGAGAGAGAAAGUUUGAUUUGCAGAAAAAACAAAAGAUGGAAGAAGAUGGGAUGCUGUUACCGUGAUAACAGUUUCUACGAUGCAGGGCCGGUCCUGGCUAAGCCCAUUGAAACAUUUGUCUUAGGUCCCUAUUUUUUAGAGGUCCCAUUUCUAGAAAAUCCAAUAUACAUUAUAAAACAAAAAAAAAAUUUAAUGAGAUCACACGAACUUGGCUAUAUCACGUUGGUUUAAGUUUUAACAACCAAAGUCCAUUUGAAUAGGCCAAAGAACACAAUAAUGUAAGUAGCCCAAUAAAUCAAAAAGAGUAAAAAUCCACAAAGCUAAAAAAAAUUUGGACUAACGUAUUUCAUUUUUUUUUUGUCUUCGACUCUUGCACUUGCUUUCCCUGUCAUAACUUGGAAGCCAAAAACACAAUUUCAAAACAGAAUUUCAUUACUCCUUGUCAAUUGCUUGUGUUUAUAUCAGAAGAAAAAUAUCGGCAUAAACUAUCAGUUCAUUUGUUCAUUUUUUUGUAUAGAAACUUAUGUUUUAUCAUUGGUUUAGUAUUUUAUAUAUGAACUAUGUUUAUAAGUUUGUUUUUGGGAUAUUUUUGUGAUGUAAGAUAUAGGCCCCUAUUUUUUAUUUCGUUUCAAGCCCCCGAAUUUUCAGGACCGGCCCUGCUACGAUGUCACCGAGAAUCGUGACAGAUUUACUCUGGCUGUGACUCUUAUUUGAACCACCGGAAACAGCCCAUCUUUAGACUCCGACUCAUCUUUCCCGGUGUCGUGACCUCACCUCUUGUCGUCUAUGUUCCGUCACGAGCUCGCGUCUCUGCUCCGUAGAAAGCAUCAAUGGCCAAUUUUUGCUUUUUUGCACAUUUGGUCCUUUAUUUUGUGUAAUUCAUUUCUGAUCUCAAACUCUUUAAUAGUACAAAUAACUCUUCGUAUUAACCCCUUUCUUCUUUAUUGUUAAUUCCAAAACCCUUCAUAAAAAUUGCAUGAAUGGUCUCUUGUCUUUUAAUUACUUUCAUUUCCGCCCCCCCCCCAAAAUUCUAAAAUAAACAAUUUUCUCUUUGAUUUCAUCUCAAACUUAUCAAUUGCAUACUCUAACCUAUGUUAAUGCAAUUUAACAUGCAUAUAUACACUAAAGACUUUUAAAGCCAAAUGUACAACUCAUGUCAGUCUAUCGUACUUUUGAACUUUGGGUUUCACUGAUCAAUUGUACAUGUAGAUGUUUGUGGGACUAUGUACAUGAUGAUUAUUGUACAUCUGGAUAAGCAAAUGUAUGUGUACACGUCUCAUUUGCCUAAACAUCAACAUAAUAAUUCAUUUGAAACUCCUUAAGAUAUUUGUUUCAUGUUGGUGCAGGGAUAAGGUAAAGAAAGCACUCUGGCCAAAGUUUUAUUUUGGAUUAAAUUAGAUUCCUCUUCACAAUCAACUUGCGAAUCAACUUCAUAAUGUUUUGUAUGCUUUGUAUAAUGAUACAAAGUUUCAUAUUCUUCUACCACUUUAUCUUUGAAUGGACUUUACCUAAUUUAUCAAUAUUGUACACAUUUACGGUAUCAUAUUUGUUGUACACAUGUACUCCACAAAAUAUUAAUGUACACACACUAGGGAUGUGCACUACUUUACAAUAUGUAUCCACAUUAGAUUUACAUUGUUUUGUGGACAUAUAAGAUUAUGAUAGAGAUAUACAGAAUGUCAUUAAGAUAAAAUAUAAUAUAUAUAUUGGACAUAUGACCAUUGGCAAAACAACAAGAGACAUUUUCCAUGAUGCUUUGUCCAUGCUUAUAUUUUUGAGAGGUCGUGUAAUCUUUAGCUCAUCAUUUGAUAGUGUAUAUGUCUUUUUUUUUUUUUUUUUGACAAAAGAUUUAAAAUGACUAUUUAUAUUUGUCUAAAAUUGAUAGUGUAUAUGUCAAACAUGCAAACACCUUUAGAUUUGUUCAAAAAAAAAAAAAAAAAUUACUAAUCAUGUGUUGGCGAGGUUCUUUGAUUGUGAUAUGUAAAUAGCAUGGAAACCUUCCAAAUGUAGCUUUCAGUGUAUAACACAGUGUAUCUGUGAAAUAUUUCUCCGCAAACCUUGUUCCAUCAAUCUGUAACGUGGGAGCAUGCUUCCAUGUAAAAAGAUUAUUGUUUUGUGUAUAAUUUGAUUUCGUACACUCCGCAUCGUGUACACAUGUACAUUGAAGGUCAAUAAAAAUAUGUGGCUAUAAUGUCACAUAUAGGUGGAUUAGGGUUGAUUACUCAAAAUGUCAAAAUAUAUAAUAAAAUAGAUCAAAUCAAACUAAUGAUAGGUGUACACAUUGUUAUGUGUGUUAUUUAUGUCUAAUGGUUGUAAUGUCAAACGACGACAGUGUAAAAAACAUACAAACGCCAGCGAGGACUGGAGCUUCGAAACAAGGCAUGGCGGUGGUGGAUCGAGCUAGGCACAGCUCAGGUAUUGUUGGUUGGAGAAGAGUACACGUUAUGAUAAAAUGGAGGACGUCGAGAAUGGAUCUUCACCGACAAAAGGAUGAAACACAAUAAAUCAAAGCUAACCAAACAGAAAAACAAAAAAAGUCAAAGAAAAAUAGUUUACUGUUUUUAUUCUGGGUUUCAAAACUUUAAAAGAUUUAAAAAAAAAAAAAAAAAACUUUAAAAGAUUUAAAACAAAAGUAAAGAGAAAAGAAACAAGAAACUUUUGUGGGCCAAGGGUAACAAAUCAAAAGCUAAAUAAAUACACAAGGGUGACGAAAAAAAGGUUUAUGGUUUCACUUUUUCAGGGUCAGCAGAGUCUUUAACCACCUAAAACUAUCCAAGUAGCACAAAGUGAUCUUCUAUGUAAUUAAAAGUCAAAAACUGAACUGCAGUGUAAAUCACUCUAAUUAAAAGUUCAUGUUAUCAGAAGUUGAGCUAGCGUCGUUUAUGGAUAACUAGACCCUGGUCCGCGCGCCAGCGCAGAUAUGAAUUUUCGGUUUUUAAUUAUUUAUUUUAUAAAAUAUGUAUUUGUAAUAUUUGUUUAUAUUAUAUUUAUUAAGUAAAUAUAUUUUUUUUUGCAUCUUAACCUAUUUAUUUAUUUACGAAUGUGUGAUAUCAUAUAAAAAAUAUAAAAAAUGAGUAUAGAGUUAAUUAGAUAAUUUUAAAAACAGAAAUUUUUCUUUCGUGUGCGAUAUCAUAUAAAUAAUGAUCCGCCCAGUUAACAAAAAUCAUGAUUAUUUUAUGUGUAAUUUUUUUUAUUUUGACCAUUUCCUUAAAACUAUAUUAAAUUUUACAUAUUUUAAUUAGAAUAUUUUUAAUAUCUUUACCUUUUUAUUUGAAAUGCAACUCAAUAUUUUUUUAACAAUUAUAACAAAAUAUUUAAAAAAUAUUUUUAGAAUUUGUUUGAAAAAUAUGAAAAUUACAUUUUAAAUUAAAAUUAUCCUAAAAUAUGAUAAGUUUUGAUGUAAACGAAAACUCAAAUUAUGUCAAAAAUAAUGAUAUUCAAUGAUAAUAACAAUUUUAAUUGAUUAUUUUUUAAAAAAUACAUUUACAAAAAUAUUGUUCGAAAGAAAAUUCAUUUAUCUUUCAAAUAUAAUAUGAAAAUAUUAUAAUUAAAUAAUAAAAAAUAUAAAUAAAAACCAUAAAUUUAGCAAAUGACAACUGACUUAUAUUAUGUUAAAACUUUCUUUCUAACAAUUUAUCAAAUGACAAAUGAGUUAUGAACAAAUAAUACCAUAUAAUUUUUAAAAACAUAGCCACUCUUAAAUAUUUUUUGAAUAAAUAAUUAUUUUAAAAUUUAAUCAACUGAAAAUAAUAUCCGUACAAUUGUGUGAGUCAAAUUCUAGUUUUAUUGAUGCAUGUUAUAUAUUAGUGCUGCAUGUUUUAGGUAACAUUUUAAUGAUGCACGUUUUUAAAAAUCUCCAUUAUUAAAAUUAUGCACGUAAGGAUAACUCAUGAGUUUUUUUGGUUGAUUAAAUGACAUUAUGUCCAAAUUUAUUUAAGGAUAUUUCAUUAAGGUAACUGAAAAAGACAAACAAUAAAAUAGGAAGUUUAAAUUCAUUUAAGCAUAUUUCAUUAAUGUAACUGAAAAGACAAGUAAUAAAUUAGACAGUUUUAUUCGUUUUAGGAUAUUUCAUAAAUGCAACUGAAAAAGACAAGCAAAAAAAAAGGGAGUUUAAUUAAUGAAGUAAGAACAUUUUCAAAUGGGUACUUCUCUUUUAAUAAUAUAGAUACGUUAAUCAACUAAAAUCCAAUUUGAAUCUUUAAUACCAUGAUUAAAAAUCCCAAGAGCAUGAUUAUAUUUUGUUUAUAUAUUGUAUUCCCACCAUUUUUUUUAAUAUAAGUCAUUUUAGAAUUGUGCACAUAGAUUAAGAAAAUCAUUAUUUUUUAUAUUUUCUAAACAAAAACAUCAUUAAUUAUUUAUUUAACCACAAAUCAACUAAUAAUAAAAUAGAAGGUAUAUUAUUAUUGAUCAUAUAAUAUUAAGUGUUAAUAAAUUUUACAUAGAAAACCGAGAACGUCAUAUAAUUUGGAACAUAAAUAUUUUUUCAAAAACGACUUAUAUUAAAAAACGGAGGGAGUAAUAGAAUUUUCGGUACAUUACUUUAAGACUGCCCACUCGUUAGUCUUAUCUUUACUCAAGUCUGUAUUUUUAAUUGUUUGUUCUCUGUUUAAAUCAUUUUAACGGUUAAAUAAUAAUAAUAAUAAUAAUAAUUUUAACAUUUAUGUCAUCACUUUCCUAGAUUCUUUUAAGCAUUUCGAUCAUUAGGAGAAUUGUCUUAUGGAUCUCACGAACUAACCAAGCUCACAAAAAUGAAUGUAUCAGCCAAGCAGAAGAUAAACAAGGAUAUGAGCUACAAUGCAGAUGAUAUAAUUGCUGGAAAUGAUACAAUAGAUGCAAACAGUUCAAGAUAUUAUUCUUUGAAACGACAAAAGAACACAACAAAAGCAAACGGAGGAAACUAAUGUUGCUGCCGGUUAUUAGAGGAUCACUUGCCUAUAACCAGUUUAGCUCUAGCAUCUCCUUGGUUGAUCUGGAACUGAUCUCCUAGUCCAAAAUGAGCCAUCAACAGCCACACAAAGCUGAUGAGUUCUCCACCUUUGCUUAGCUGAGCUGCGUGUUCUAUAGCGCCACACUUAGUUGCUGCAUAACAAAGCAACUCAGCCCACACUUUGUUCACUACUUCCCACAUGUAUGCCUCUCCCUUGGCCUUCUUCAAGCCAUCCUUUAACUCUGGAAGCUCUUUUAAACCCUUAAGCUCUUUGGCCAACAUGCUCCCAUCAAACAGCACCGACUUGCUUUUAUCACCUUUCACGUCAAUAGGUUCAGCUUUUGUCGGAGCCGUCACAGAUAAAAUCGCCUCACUAGCCAUCUUUAUGUCUCUGGAUUCGAUAUGCCUUCUCUUGAAAAACCUCUUAGCCUCCUCGCAUGUAUCCCUGAAUCUUAUCUUUCCAAUACCCACAACAGCUGACAUCAAAGUAGGUUGCAUCAUCAUGAGGUACAUCAUGUAGUCUGAAAGGAUUUUACUAAACUCACGAUCACUAUGACUCUCUUCAGUGGCUGGUUCUGAUUGGUAUAAGAGCUCAGUUGCAAUAUGCCACACAAGAAGACUCUGAUCAUAGUCCAUUUCCAUCACAUAGCGUAGAAGCCUCUCACGCUUUUUCUGUGUCUCUCUGUCUUCACCUUGUAUGUCACGCUGACUCCAGUCACCUCUAGCUGAAGAGACCCUCAUGGUGCUUUCCGAGUCGUCAGCGAAACGGGAUUUAUUCAAAACCUCUCCAAAUAUAUGCUCCCACAGAUCAAGAGUGACACGAUCACUUGAUGUGUAGAUAAUCUCCUCAAACUGAGCUUGUAUCCCAAAGAAGUCCAUGAACUUUCUUGUCAGAUAACCAAGAAGAUGAAAAAUGACGAACGUCCAAUAGAUCCAACUCCUAAUAUAAUCUUCCUUUAACCAUUUUAUGUUCUUGCAUAAAACACUUAUUUUUCAAACCACUUGUAAACAUUAUGACCCACUUGCUUUAUACUGUGGAAACAGAAUGCAAUUGCUUUUCCAAUGGCUUCAAAGACAACUCCAAUGCAAAAAACCUCGAUAAACCAGUCAAAGGACAUGUGUAUGAAACCCUUGGUGUGAUGGAUCCGCUUCGGCGUUAUCGAAAGACAGUACUCUAGCAAGUUGUGUGCAUGUACGUACUCUGACCGCCUACGUACCAUAAAGAAAGUGUCAAGGACUUCAUGACACGUCUUGUCCGUUCUAUCCUUCUCAACGUCUUCGUCCUUCUUCAGCCUCAUAAAAAUGAGAAUUGGCUUUAUAAUCUUGUCGAACCAGUUAACUUUGUUGUCCUCAUCCUUAGACGGUUUGAAGCAUUUGUACUUCUCCGUCUUCAAUCCCCUGGCCCCAAGAAUCCAGUUAAGAAAGUUGUCCAACUUAGUGUCAGGAUCAUCAACCUCGUCCUUCAUCUUCCUCAGCCUGACAAAGGUCCAGUCAGACAGACAUAACAUAAUAAGAGCAAUGCAAUCCAGAGCUAUUCCUCCUAUCAGCAAUGCAUAAGUAAGGCCAACAUCGAAUCUUCCAUAGUCUUUCUUGUCUUUGUAUUGGAAGAUGCGGAGCGCUGCUAUAAGGCAUCCAAGAGCAAUGAAUCUGAAGAUGACUCCUAUCCAAUUAUGAAGAAUCUCAGCUUUUGUGUAAAGAGCUUCGUAGAUGAAGUUGAGCUCAACCUCCAAGAUUCUUAGCGCUUCAUCUGGUUUUAGUUCGCUAAAGAAUCGCUUGCUUUCAGCUCAUUGUUGAAAGGUGAAGGUAAGAUCAACCACAAGACCUUUGAAGAUGUUGAAGUACUUAUAAGCAUACUGGAGAAUAUUAAGCUCAGUGAGGUCGUCAGGCUUAACCUUAGCACCGACUUUUGGAUCUUUCUCAGACUCCUCGAUCUUGAUAAUCUGUGUAGGCAUCUUCAUAACCUUCUUAGCCGCGUAUUCCUCCAUGAGCUUUGCGUAGUUUGGGCCAUGAUCAGGUCGUAGAAUCAUGGAAUCUUUAAACUUGUCAAGACUAGCUAGGUAUAACGCUAAUGUCCUCUCAACAUACUUGAUCACUCCUGUCGCAGAAACCAGCAAAAUGGGUCUCCACAGAUCAUUUGGUAACGACUGUAAAAACACGUAGACGGUGGCGAUUGCUUGAAAGGCAAGACCCAACAAGUGCCUAAGCCAGAGCUCAUUAUCUUCAAGCGCAAGGGAAGUGAUUGUAUCUGUACCACCAAGAUGCAAGAGCAAAAAAGGAACCCAAAAAGCUAAGAGUUUACUGUUAUUUUUAGGUUCUCCGGGUUAUGCAUCGUCUCCUUGCCUAUCAGAGAUUUUUCUCGCUGCGAAGUUGGCUGCCCAAUCGGCAAGAAGAUAAGCUGACCUGAUGAGAGAGAGUAGUACCUUUCUGGAUGUGCGUUUCUUUUGAGGUGCAAAGAAAAUGAGAAACGAUUGGAGGCUGAGACUGAAGAUUAAGGUAGUUCGGAUACUCCAUGCGUCCCAUAUGUCUUUGAUAGGCUUUGGGAUUGCGUCCACCAUCUUGAAACAGAGUUAUUUCCUAAUUUGUUGGAACAGACAAGAAAUUAUGGUCUUU